GAUGAACGCUGGCGGCGUGCCUAAUACAUGCAAGUCGAGCGAACAGACGAGGAGCUUGCUCCUCUGACGUUAGCGGCGGACGGGUGAGUAACACGUGGAUAACCUACCUAUAAGACUGGGAUAACUUCGGGAAACCGGAGCUAAUACCGGAUAAUAUAUUGAACCGCAUGGUUCAAUAGUGAAAGACGGUUUUGCUGGCACUUAUAGAUGGAUCCGCGCCGCAUUAGCUAGUUGGUAAGGUAACGGCUUACCAAGGCAACGAUGCGUAGACGACCUGAGAGGGUGAUCGGCCACACUGGAACUGAGACACGGUCCAGACUCCUACGGGAGGCAGCAGUAGGGAAUCUUCCGCAAUGGGCGAAAGCUUGACGGAGCAACGCCGCGUGAGUGAUGAAGGUCUUCGGAUCGUAAAACUCUGUUAUUAGGGAAGAACAAAUGUGUAAGUAACUAUGCACGUCUUGACGGUACCUAAUCAGAAAGCAACGGCUAACUACGUG
rnacentral:rRNA from 1 species